rnacentral:misc_RNA from 1 species
UAAAAAACUCUCAGUUUAAUGCUGAAGUAGAACACAGUUCAGAAAAACAAAAAUCUGAAACUGGUUCAGUGGUUGACUCCACUAAAAUUUUACAUGAUUCUGUAAUGGAUAUUGCUGAUGAAUUCAACUCCUGUGAAGUUUCAUCCAAGGCUAGCACUGGCAACAGUUCAACUGAAAAUCCUGAACAAGAUUCAAUGCCUAAAGUUAGUAAGGCCGUGCGGCAAUGCAUCCAUGCUCUGCAAGAGGCGCCUGACACCACCCACAAGUUUGCUGCUCUCAUGAUGGUCACAAAGCUGAUCAGAGCUGAGGUUUUGGAUGACAGAAUUAAACUGAAGCUUUUUGAUGCUAUUGGAACAGAAUUUCUCACCAACCUCAUUAGAGAAAAUAUAGGACCUGAUGGUCACCCUGAUCCUAUAUUCAAAUCAAUUGCCUUAUCUAUUUUGUCAUUUUUUGUUACAACAGGGCACAGAAAAAGUUUUUUUGUGUCACUGAUUCCUGAUCUUUUGGAUAUCAUAUCAGAGUCAGAAUUGCAUGCUGAUGACCUUUCACUCAUACAGGAUGCUUUUAAAUGCAUUGAUGGGAUAGUUGCCCACAAGUCCGGCAGGAAAGCAUUCAUUAGUCAUGAUGGCCUUGAUAGCUUGAUAGACGUUUACCGACUUGAAAAUUUCUGUCAGGGGCAUGCCAUGCGAACUCUUAUGCUUAUCAUGGCAGAGGAAGGAACUAAUACAUGGUUGCAACACCACGCAAGCUUUACUAAAAUCAUGACGCACGUUGCGCACGAGUUUGCGAUGAAUAACUGCGAACGUAAGUUCGAGCUGUGCUCGCUACUGGUCGAGCUGCUUCACAGUAUGAAUGACACCCAUGAAGAAGAUAGUGGCUACGAGUGGCAGAAGCAAGUGCAUCAAGGAUUGUGUGACAUAAUUCUUAGUAAGCUUGGGAAGGAACAACGCUUCCAAGGCUUGCAUUUGGCAGCUGCUGCGCUGGAUGAACUUGGUCCGACGUGGGUCAUUUCUGGAGGAGAAAAAGGCCAACAUUUGAUGCUUGUUAUGGUGCAUCUGGCUUGUGUGGAAGUGCGCAUGAGCCUUGAAGACGAAUCGUUUGAGAAGACCGUGGCUUUCGCUCCUCAGACCACAUCUUGUUAUCUCAUUCUAGAAAAUGCCAUUAAAUUUUUAGUGAAUGGGGCCAUGGAAUUGGAAGGGAAGCAAAAACAACAACUCUACGCUGCUUUGAAAGGGGCUUUUAAUGCCGUGCUGUCCUUCCUAAAAAGCGUCACAGAAGAAAAAGUUCAUACGAGUUCUGCGUCUACUCAAAUGUUCAUAAGCGCAACAAUUCGUGUCCUUGGCGCAUGGUUAGCCGAAGAAACAACUGCCAACAAAAGCGAAGUGUAUGAAAUAUUGCCGCUGGUCAUUAGUUUAUCAAAGUAUAACUUUUAUUUCAAUAAGGAAGCUGGAAACAACGUACGUAGGAAGACCAAGUCGAGCGAACGCGACGAAGUGGCCGAUUUGCCUGAUUUAUUGAGAUUUUUAUUGCCAGGACUCUGUCAUUUGACAGCUGAGGAUGAACCAAGGAGCAUUUUACUAAAUUUUGGCAUCGAAAAGUUACUUUUGGACUACCUAACUUUUCAUUAUGAAACUAUUCGUCCCUUGUUAAAAUCUGCUAAAAAAGAAAGUAUUUCUUCCAGCGCGACUGAUAAAUCCGUGAUCUGUGAUACUGUAAUCACUCUUUGCUCAAUCUUCAUGAAUAUCGUUGUUACGUGCCCAAGAGAAGUUCAAUCGAAUGAUCUGUAUUUCAAGCUCCUCAAGAUCAUUUUCAGCAUUUCGAACGAAAUUCCUUUAGAGCGAGGUUUUCUAAGAUUUUGUGGAAAUGUCUGUGUUUUGGGAUUAAUGAUUUUGCGACACCAUUACGCGCAUGUCCGAAGCGCGAAUUUCGCAAUUUACAAAUUCAUUCAAAAUACCGUGAGGUUUCUGUGGGAUGCCCACAACAUAGAAGAGAGCUUAGAUUACGCAACACUUGUCGUCUCGCAGAAAUACCGUAUGUUAUGGGACGAACUAAUGGAGCUUUGGCAUCUAGGUAUGCACAAUCUCAUGAUGCUGUUGGCGCCGAUACCUUGGCUGUGCGAUUUCUUGCUCGAAUGUGACUGGCCGCAAACAAUCAUACAAACUCUAGCGCAAGUUAGAAUUGAAGGCGUUGACCCUGGCUUUAAGACUGUGAUUGAAGAUAUGUUGUGUAUGAUGGUGCGCUCUUCUGAACCUGCCAAACGCACCUUGAAGCAAGUCGAUGCGGUUAGGGUCGCUAAAUCACACGCUAUGGAAAAUCUCGCUGUGCUUCUACAAACUUAGUUAAUUUUUAGUAGCACUAUGUAACAAAAUUACGAUACUUGUAAUCUAAUGCUUGCGAAGUUUCACUGCUGUGAACAUUUUUUUUCCUUGCUUUAAGGCGCCCUUGUCCUUAGAGUGGUACCUCGUUUCUUGACUACAAUCCGUUCCGGAACUGUGGAUGUUACCUAGUAUAGAGUAUUCAACGAUUUUGUACCGAGAAAAAAUGUUUAACUAAAAUAACUUUUUCAUCUAACUCCCGAGCUGUACAUUGAUAGCGUUCUCACAAAUAUAUGCUUUGCUCAUAUUCUGGCUUGCUGAUCCUUAUAUCACGUUUUUAUUCCUAUUAGCGAUUAUUUUUGUCGUUCUAUCUGCAAAUUUUUAUAGUUUGUCAGUUUCUCGAGAUGAUACGCUCGAGUAUUGUGUGUAGAUCACACAAGUGUGUUAAAAUUAAGAAUUACUUGAAGUAUCCUUUGAAGCCCUUACCAAGCGUCAGUUCGACGUAUUCGUUAAAAAAACACUGGAAAGAGUCUACGCCAAAAGUGGUCAAGAUCGAAGUAGCGAUUUGCGUUUCGAAGCUCGCUAAAACUCUGGUCGAGAUCAACAAGGUGGCCGAGACGCCGAGUGGUCGCGCAUCGGCGACAGGCCAGCAUGGCUCAAUCAAAGCUGGCAGGUUCAAAUUGAUAGGUUCAAAGUCACUAUUAAUUUCAAUAAAGGCGAGUGUUUUGUGCAUUGACGAAGUGGUCAAUACUGUCGAUUUUUAUUUUACGCUUAAUUUGGUAGAUCUUAUGUUGCCCACGCACAUUUACUUCAACCGUUUUCUUCUUUAUUACUAAUGUUAAGGUUUGCAAACUAUUGUGAUUUUAAACUAACUUUAUGUAUAUACCACCUUGCUGAAGGAAAAUAUCCUGUUAGAAUGAACAGCUGCGCAUUAGCUACAAGUAGAUUGAUUCGUGCACCAAGGAAUAAUUGACGUGAAGGAUGCUAAGAAUUGCGCACGUCAGCAUGCGUUCGAAGUCGUAAAGACGUCUCUUUAUUUAAAUUGAUGUAUAAAGUGGACAUUUAAGUAAACGAAUCGUCCGCAAUUAAUUUGCUUGGGAUCUAACCAAACGAGCCAGUGCCUAAGCCACCGACAAUUAUGACGAUAAAUGAUGAUCUUUGUUUGCAGGACCGUCGAUGUCCAUAGACGAUGAUCUGGACGAGCUUGCUUUGGAGCGAUUAAUGCUCCUUGACGAUUUGCUGCAGAACAAACAAAUGUUGGCAGAGUUCUUGAGACACGGCUUUUUCAACCUUGGAAAAGCCAGGUAUUCGCUUGGAUGCCACGCUGUCAGUGCACUCAGAAUUCCAGAGAGCUUCAUUAGAGCCUCCACGAAGACAGAAAGCUACAAUGAGAGGAUGAACGAUGAUGUGAGCUACGUCGCCAGGAGAAUUGUGAAAAACGUAUCUGAUUGCAAGUCAGAUAAAUCGGAAGACGCCGGCCUCUUGGACAACUGUGAUGACUAUGCCAACAAGAAACCAAUUAACUGGUUCAGCGCUCUCCCACCGAGAAGUUUGCGCGAUGCCGAAUCUCAGUUCAAUUCUGCACUGCAACUAGCGGCCAAGUGCGCGUCACUGCAGGAGCAACUCACGGCGUUGAAUGAUCGCUAUCUUGUCAUGACCACGCAAAUGAAAACUCAAGUCCAAUGAAAAUUCCUAAGGGAAAGUGAAGAAAUUAUUCGACUUUUUUAUAAAACGCAAAGAACAAUUAUAUGAUAGUUACGUAAACGGCAAUGAACUCGAAAACUUGAUCUUAGCUGGUUUUAAUCAAGAAAGGUGGCAACAACACAUUAAGUUAGACUAAUUUAAAUUACGUAAGGACAGCCAAUCAUACACGUGUAAAUAUAAUGAUUCUAUUUAUGGUUUAUUUUUGUCCAAUAAAUUGUAACUCCAUGAAGCAGUGAGAAGUCCAAAUCAACAUCGAAACGCCCAUCCAACUUUGAUGAAAUUCCUCCUCGUGCGUUGUUCGCUGAAAUAGAAACAUUUCGAUGAGACGUAUGCACUUUUCAGAAAUAUUUUACGCGUAUUUAAGUCAUUCAGUCCGCCACUUGGCAUGUUUAAACAACUGCUCCCAUCCACACCAAUAGGUUCUGCCAGCAUAACUGACAUUGAUGUGUUAGCGAUGGUAACAUUCAGACGUACAAU